AAUCCAUAGGUUAAUGAGGCGAACCGGGGGAACUGAAACAUCUAAGUACCCCGAGGAAAAGAAAUCAACCGAGAUUCCCCCAGUAGCGGCGAGCGAACGGGGAGGAGCCCAGAGCCUGAAUCAGCAUGUGUGUUAGUGGAAGCGUCUGGAAAGGCGCGCGAUACAGGGUGACAGCCCCGUACACAAAAGCGCAUGUGCUGUGAGCUCGAUGAGUAGGGCGGGACACGUGGUAUCCUGUCUGAAUAUGGGGGGACCAUCCUCCAAGGCUAAAUACUCCUGACUGACCGAUAGUGAACCAGUACCGUGAGGGAAAGGCGAAAAGAACCCCGGCGAGGGGAGUGAAAAAGAACCUGAAACCGUGUACGUACAAGCAGUGGGAGCACAGGUUUACCUGUGUGACUGCGUACCUUUUGUAUAAUGGGUCAGCGACUUAUAUUCUGUAGCAAGGUUAACCGAAUAGGGGAGCCGGAGGGAAACCGAGUCUUAAUUGGGCGUUAAGUUGCAGGGUAUAGACCCGAAACCCGGUGAUCUAGCCAUGGGCAGGUUGAAGGUUGGGUAACACUAACUGGAGGACCGAACCGACUAAUGUUGAAAAAUUAGCGGAUGACCUGUGGCUGGGGGUGAAAGGCCAAUCAAACCGGGAGAUAGCUGGUUCUCCCCGAAAGCUAUUUAGGUAGCGCCUCGUGAAUUCAUCUCCGGGGGUAGAGCACUGUUUCGGCUAGGGGGCCAUCCCGGCUUACCAACCCGAUGCAAACUGCGAAUACCGGAGAAUGUUAUCACGGGAGACACACGGCGGGUGCUAACGUCCGUCGUGAAGAGGGAAACAACCCAGACCGCCAGCUAAGGUCCCAAAGUCAUGGUUAAGUGGGAAACGAUGUGGGAAGGCCCAGACAGCCAGGAUGUUGGCUUAGAAGCAGCCAUCAUUUAAAGAAAGCGUAAUAGCUCACUGGUCGAGUCGGCCUGCGCGGAAGAUGUAACGGGGCUAAACCAUGCACCGAAGCUGCGGCAGCGAACGUAUCACCCAAGACAACUUUGCGGAGUUGACGAUUGACGGAGCGAAGCGACGUCAAAGCGUUCAUUAAAGUCGAGUUGGCUUAGGGAUACGUUCGUUGGGUAGGGGAGCGUUCUGUAAGCCUGUGAAGGUGGCCUGUGAGGGUUGCUGGAGGUAUCAGAAGUGCGAAUGCUGACAUAAGUAACGAUAAAGCGGGUGAAAAGCCCGCUCGCCGGAAGACCAAGGGUUCCUGUCCAACGUUAAUCGGGGCAGGGUGAGUCGACCCCUAAGGCGAGGCCGAAAGGCGUAGUCGAUGGGAAACGGGUUAAUAUUCCCGUACUUGGUGUUACUGCGAAGGGGGGACGGAGAAGGCUAUGUUGGCCGGGCGACGGUUGUCCCGGUUUAAGCGUGUAGGUGUGUGUUCCAGGUAAAUCCGGUU
rnacentral:rRNA from 1 species